UAACUUAUAUAGUUAUAUUCAUCUGUUCCCUAUUCAGACGAACUCCCCAUCUUUUUUUUUCUUGGUGAAUUUCUGAAGAUAUAGCGUUCUCCCAAAGCUUCUACAAAUCGAAUUGGGAAAAUGGAAAACCCUAAUGUGCAACAGAUUCUGGAGAAGCAAGUGUUAACAGUGGCGAAAGCCAUGGAGGAGAAGAUCGAUGAAGAAAUUGCGGCCCUAGAUCGUCUUGAAAACGACGAUAUUGAAGUUUUAAGGGAGAAGAGGCUUCAACAGAUGAAGAAAAUGGCGGAAAAGCGUAAACAUUGGAUCUCUCUUGGUCAUGGAGAAUACUCUGAGAUUCCGUCUGAAAAAGAGUUCUUCUCCAUUGUCAAAGCGAGUGAUCGUGUUGUUUGCCAUUUUUAUCGCGAGAAUUGGCCGUGUAAGGUAAUGGACAAGCACCUAAGUAUUUUGGCAAAGCAGCAUAUAGAGACACGUUUUGUGAAAAUUCACGCUGAGAAAAGUCCCUUUUUGGCGGAAAAGCUGAAGAUUGUAGUCCUUCCCACUCUUGCUAUUAUAAAAAAUGCCAAAGUUGAAAAUUAUGUGGUUGGUUUUGAUGAGCUUGGUGGCCGAGAUGAUUUUAGCACAGAGGAGCUGGAGGAGAGAUUGGCAAAGUAUCAGGUUAUCAUAUUUGAGGGUGAAUCAUCAGUAAAAUCUUCUCGCUCACAGGGACAUACCAGAAGUGUGAGGCAAAGUGAUACCCAUGAUUCAUCUGACUCAGAUUAGGACUAUAGCUCAAAUAGUCUUUUGGAGGCCUAGGUCACUUGUUGUGUCUUUUUGAUAGUUGUUGGCGCGUGUGUAUUAUAGAGUCAGUGGAGGGUUGGAAGAAAGGGAUUUAUAGUGUGUUUGAAUUUGGAUAAUGAAAGAGGAAAAAGAGGAAGGAAAUUGCUUGGAGGGGAAGAAAGAGCAGAAGAGUUUUUUUUGUUGAGGUUUUGUUUUUCACAAAUGGAAGGAAUCUAUCUCUCCAAUCACUAUCCGUGUUGAGUAUAAUAUCUUCUUUCCAAUCUCCAUUUCCCUUGUUCUUUUCACUUCAUUGUGAAAAAGAAGAUGUUGCUGGUCUUGAACUUCUUGGAAUGUUUUCCUCUUGUGAUAUUUUUGACGAUGAAAAUUCCAUCGAUUCAAUUCUUGGAUCUUCAAAGAAAACCACCAGAUUAGUGAACGCGACACUUAGACUUCAAGGUAACACAUUCACAAAUCAAGUUGAAUUACUUGCAAGGCAUUUUAUCCCCCCACUCCUUUCUAGCUCCACUGCGGCUUCCACCACUCCUCCACCAUCCUAGUCUCCCUCCCUAAGCCCUACUUUUUUGCUCCCCUUCCCAGUCACCUGGUACUCUGAUCAAUUUGUCCUUUGCAAGGACCCCCUCUCUUGCUCAUCUGCCCCCUUUCCCCCGAUCCCAUGUGGUUGUUGUGGUUUGCGUGGCUUGAGUGAGUUGGGGUGUGUGGCUUUGCUUGGUUUCACAGAGGGUGGGGCAAAGAGAUUGAUGGG